GACGAACGCUGGCGGCGUGCUUAACACAUGCAAGUCGAACGGAAAGGCCCUGCUUUUGUGGGGUGCUCGAGUGGCGAACGGGUGAGUAACACGUGAGUAACCUGCCCUUGACUUUGGGAUAACUUCAGGAAACUGGGGCUAAUACCGGAUAGGAGCUCCUGCUGCAUGGUGGGGGUUGGAAAGUUUCGGCGGUUGGGGAUGGACUCGCGGCUUAUCAGCUUGUUGGUGGGGUAGUGGCUUACCAAGGCUUUGACGGGUAGCCGGCCUGAGAGGGUGACCGGCCACAUUGGGACUGAGAUACGGCCCAGACUCCUACGGGAGGCAGCAGUGGGGAAUAUUGCACAAUGGGCGGAAGCCUGAUGCAGCAACGUCGCGUGCGGGAUGACGGCCUUCGGGUUGUAAACCGCUUUCGCCUGUGACGAAGCGUGAGUGACGGUAAUGGGUAAAGAAGCACCGGCUAACUACGUGCCAGCAGCCGCGGUGAUACGUAGGGUGCGAGCGUUGUCCGGAUUUAUUGGGCGUAAAGGGCUCGUAGGUGGUUGAUCGCGUCGGAAGUGUAAUCUUGGGGCUUAACCCUGAGCGUGCUUUCGAUACGGGUUGACUUGAGGAAGGUAGGGGAGAAUGGAAUUCCUGGUGGAGCGGUGGAAUGCGCAGAUAUCAGGAGGAACACCAGUGGCGAAGGCGGUUCUCUGGGCCUUUCCUGACGCUGAGGAGCGAAAGCGUGGGGAGCGAACAGGCUUAGAUACCCUGGUAGUCCACGCUGUAAACGGUGGGUACUAGGUGUGGGGUCCAUUCCACGGGUUCCGUGCCGUAGCUAACGCUUUAAGUACCCCGCCUGGGGAGUACGGCCGCAAGGCUAAAACUCAAAGGAAUUGACGGGGCCCCGCACAAGCGGCGGAGCAUGCGGAUUAAUUCGAUGCAACGCGUAGAACCUUACCUGGGUUUGACAUGGAUCGGGAGCGCUCAGAGAUGGGUGUGCCUCUUUUGGGGUCGGUUCACAGGUGGUGCAUGGCUGUCGUCAGCUCGUGUCGUGAGAUGUUGGGUUAAGUCCCGCAACGAGCGCAACCCUUGUUCACUGUUGCCAGCACGUUAUGGUGGGGACUCAGUGGAGACCGCCGGGGUCAACUCGGAGGAAGGUGGGGAUGACGUCAAGUCAUCAUGCCCCUUAUGUCCAGGGCUUCACGCAUGCUACAAUGGCUGGUACAGAGAGUGGCGAGCCUGUGAGGGUGAGCGAAUCUCGGAAAGCCGGUCUCAGUUCGGAUUGGGGUCUGCAACUCGACCUCAUGAAGUCGGAGUCGCUAGUAAUCGCAGAUCAGCAACGCUGCGGUGAAUACGUUCCCGGG
rnacentral:rRNA from 1 species